ensembl:snoRNA
AGGGUGUGCUCAGAACAGGAGACCCCUGUUUACAACACACACAACAGAACUUUGGGUUCACUGUGACAAGGGGCACAAAACUCAUGGCCUUCUUAGGAAUAAAUAUCCAGCAUGU